AGGCACCCUUCCUCAGCUGUGGAUUGCUGCUGCUGGGACUCAUCCCAGGGGUUGCUGCUAGUCCUGUCUCCUCCUUUUGCAGAAGAGGAAACUGAAGCUGAGCAAUAUGCUCAGGCCUGCCCAGUCAUGAGGUUCUGGACCCCAACUCUCCCGAUGGGCAAAAGCAUCCUUAUGGACCAGAACCCUUCCUUGGAAUCAGAAGACUCAGAUCUGCCCCAAGAAGCACCCCUCGUGCUCUGA
rnacentral:lncRNA from 1 species